rnacentral:rRNA from 1 species
UUAUUUUAUAAAAUUAUUUUAUUUGAAUUGUUUCAUAUUUAUUUAAUAGAAAUAACUUUUUUAUAUUUAAGUCUAAGUAUUUUUUAAUGAAUUGAUUUAAUUAAUUAUAGUCAAUAAKUAAUGWAAAUGAAAUWAUUUAAUGAUUUAAAAAGUACUUUUAAUUUAGGGUACCUUUUGUAUCAGGGUUGAUAAAUAUUUUUGGAUUAAUAAUUCUUAUCUCGAUUUAGGUUGAUUUAUAAUUAAAUGUAUUUUUAUUGUAUUAAAAAUAUUUUAAAUUUAAUUAUAGAAAUGAUAUGUUAAUCGUUUCCUAUGAUAUCUAGUUUUUCAAGAAUAAAUUUAAUUUUUUGUAGUUUAUUAAUUAUUUAAUAUUAUUUUUUUAUAAUUAUUUACUAAUUUAAACUUUAGGGGAUAAGCUCUAGAGAAAUUUCUAAAAAUUAAAUUUUAAUAUUUAAAAGUAGGCUUUAAACCAGUUAUCUUUAUGAUUUCGUUUUAGUUCAUUUUUGAAAAUAAUUUUAUAGAAUUUUUAGUUUAUAUAUUGAAAUGAUUAAAUUAAUUAAAAAUUUUUAGAAAUAAUGAUUAAAUUAGUAUAUUUAUUUAUUUAAAAUAUUAUUAUUAAUAAUUUAAUUUAAGGAAUUAGGCAAAUUUACUCUUCGCCUGUUUAUCAAAAACAUGUCUUUUUGAUUAUAAUUUAAAGUCUAACCUGCUCACUGAAUUUUUAAAGAGCCGCGGUAUUUUGACCGUGCAAAGGUAGCAUAAUCAUUAGUCUUUUAAUUGAAGGCUGGAAUGAAUGGUUUGACGAAGGAGUGACUGUCUCAACUUAAUUAAUAAAAUUUAACUUUUGAGUUAAAAGGCUUAAAUUUAACUUUAGGACGAAAAGACCCUAUAGAUCUUAAUGUAUUAUUUAAAAAUAUUUUAUUGAUAAUUUAUUUUAUUUGUUAUUUAAAACAUUUUGUUGGGGUGACAUAAAGAAUAAAUAAACUCUUUAUUAUAUUAUCAUUAAUUUAUGAAAGUUUGAUCCAUUAUUUAUGAUUAUAAGAUUAAGUUACCUUAGGGAUAACAGCGUAAUUGUUUUUAAGAGUUCAUAUCGACAAAACAGAUUGCGACCUCGAUGUUGGAUUAAGAUAAGUUCUUGGUGAAUCAGCUUAGAAACUAGGUCUGUUCGACCUUUAAAAUCUUACAUGAUCUGAGUUCAGACCGGCGUGAGCCAGGUCGGUUUCUAUCCUAAGUUUAUUAAUUUAUGUUAGUACGAAAGGACCAUAUAAUUGAAAUAUUUUUUAUUUAUUGAUUUUCAUUAAUU